GUAGAAAUCAUAAAAGGCGAACAGGGUGGUAGCAACAAGAGGCCCAUGGAGAACGAAGGAUGAGGUCCUGUAGUAGUCAGAAUUGUCUGAAGCUGUUGCUGAAGGAGACCGAGGGGUUGGAGAGUCCAAGGAAACAAGGUUGGGCUAGCUUGCUGGAAAGGAAGAGAAGACAGCCUCCAUCAGCCAGCCUCCAUCCAAGCUGGGAGCUGACCAGGUCUUCAUUCAAAGAUUUGUGAGUUAGCUUGGUCAAGACCAGAUGAGCUGCACAACCGAGCCUAGCCUAAGUAUUAUUGACUUGAAGAAUCAUGAACUAAAUAAAUGAUUGCUUUUUAAAGUUA